CUCUAAUGCAGUGGAUUAAGAGAGUUAUUUGCAUAUAAAGUUUAAUAAUUACAUACAAUUAAAAGGCAAUAAAAAUAAAUUAAGAAAAUGUUGUAUUUUAUUAUAACAACUCCAUAAUAAAUUUUAAAUUUUUAUAAAAAUAUUCUAACAGGUUUUGUACUCUUGAAUUUGUUUUAUCACAAAUUUUGUCUGACCAAAUAUAUUUCCAACAAGGGGGAAGGGCAUAUCGCCGACAAAGGGGGUGCUACUUGCAAGAAUAUCUUCUCAUAAAAAUCAGAGCAGAUUAGUGAACAUGCUAGCGAUACUGGAAGUUGAAGGGGGUCACAGGAGGAAGAUGAUGUUGUGGCUUUAGUGGUGGAGGAAAUCACGAGAAUCAGUUGAAGAUCAAAUCCCUUAAACAAUGCCAAUGAUCAUGAGGUGGAUUCCAUCGCUUUUAUAAGUAAAAGUCUGAGUAAUUGUUGUCUCGUGAUGGUCUGGCUCAACUUGAAGAACUCCAUUCAGCUGAGCCUGUAAUGCCUAAGCUCAACUUGUCUGGCUCAGAAGACAUAUAUAGACACCAAGGGCCCUUAGUUCUUAAAAGGUGGAGUAUUCCUCUCUUUCUCUACAAGAGGUUAAGGAAUGUGAGGGCGGCUGUAAAGUAAAGAUAACAGUGGGGAUGGAAAGGGACCAGAGGGAGGAUUCAGUUUUUCCGAGGAAGGGAUGGAAAGGAGCUGCUCGGAAUAAAUCUUCAAGAAUUGAAUACACCUGAUCUUGUUACAGCUGCACGGCCUGAACCUAAUGUUGCUUGUCUGCCCAUGGCUCUUCCAUCAAAUGUAACCGGAGGAUACUGCACCUCCCAUUCUUCACCUAAGAAGUGAGCAAUACAAUCUACUGCACAGAUUGAAUGCGCACAACUGCGCGCGAGUAACGAGGACAGGAAGACAUGGGAAGCAUGCAGAGAAGGUCUGUAUUUGAUUUCAGUGCUGAGGGGAGAGAUGAGAUACCUGGAAAGCAUUUGGCCACUCCUAUUCUCCUUGCUAGCUAGGGCGAACAACGAAAACAAGAAGUCCCCAGCUAUGAAAUUGUUUGUGAGACAUUGGAUUAUCUGAGGAGUCUUGGUCUCAUAGAUGAUGAUGAUGAUCUCUAUGAGUUUCUUAAAAAGUUUCCCGGGGUCCUAAUUAGCUGUGGCCUCGAACAUGAAUUGAGAAGUGAUGUGAAGAUCCUGGAGAAGGAUCAGGGAAUAAAAGGAAAAUCUCUACAAAAACUUCUUCUUCGAAAUGUUGAUUGAAAAGGAGAUUGUUUAUCAAA